AGCUACAUCCGUCACCUGACACGGCCCUACCAGGAACAGCCGCGCUCCCGCGGAUUCUGGUGCUGCUCGCGUCCCCGCUCCCCUAUUCCCCUUAUUUUAUUCCUGGCUCCCCUCGUCGAAAGUCUUCCAUUCUUCAAACUAGAUUAUUUAAAAAUGAAAAAGGAAGAAAGGAAAGCGAGGUCAUCUCAUUGCUCUAUCCGCCAAUCAGGAGGCUGAAUGUCAGUUUUGAACUAAAAGCCGCUCCGCUCCUCUUCUAGAUUUGGAAAACAAGCGAAAUUAAACUAAACCGCUGCACGCCUCUGACGCGACAUCUGGACACGGCGCGGCGCUGGCGCUGCCGGAGCUGUCGACCCGGCCUGGCGCCGGACUAGGACUAUUUGCCACGACAUUUCAAAGGAUUCCAAGAGAGAAUAUUGGUGUCCAUGCUGUGAUGAUUCCUCAGCUCCUCUCAUCUGAUCUCCGUCCUGGCCCCCAUGACUUUCUUUGUGGUAGUUAGGGUGUGGUAUGUGCCACUGAGGCCCACACCUAUUGCUUGUCCCUUUUGAUGAGAAGAAUAAGCCUCAUUCUGAUUCAACAGCAGAGAUCAAAGAAAAGACUUCUGUUUUCUGGCCACCAGAUAUAUGUUAUCUGUGCUUAAAGAAUUGAAAAACACACAUCAAAGGAGAAUUUUCUUGGAAAGAGAGGGUUCAAGCAUCACUGUUAGGUGUGCUGGAAUCCUUUCCCGAGUCAGUACUGCUUUCUAGAAGAAAACCGGGGAGAUCUAUUUGGAAUGUAUCUAACUCCAAAGAAACCAUCAGAGGUAACAGAUUGGCUUCUCUCACAUGGCAAGAAACAUUGCUGCUAGCACUUCCCGAGUUCUACGUUCUACAACAUCCACCACUGGAUCUUAACAUAGACGUAAGAUCAAAUGCAAUAGCAUGUCAAACAAUGUGUAACUCCAGUUAUACAAACAUUACUGUAUCUCAUUGGGGAUACGAAGCUCUACACACUUGAAGAUGGUGAAGGAAUAUAAAAAUCUAUGUCUCACAGUCCAGACUUGGAGUACAAGUAAUAAGAAGAAUAAAACUUAAUCCCUUAAGUAGAUUCACCAUAAGUUAGCUCAGAGCAAUUCCAGUGCAAGUAUGGUCUGUGAUCCAGUAGUAUCUUACAGACAGCAAGUUGAACAUUGUGGGAUGCAUGAGCUAUUGAGGCCUUUGCAGCUUUCUGCUACAUGGAGGCUAGGGCCAGAGUCAAGAUUUAUGCUUUGCAGCACACUGGUCAGCUGUUUUUGCAAAUCAGAUUAAAUGAUUUUUAAAUGAGGCUGAGAGCAUGGGAGAUACUAAUGUGUGUUUCCUUGUGAGCUACUGCAUAAGUUAGGAAAUUGAAAUACAGAAAGAUGAAAAGUGAUUUGCCCAAGCAUAUAGAUCAAAGCUGUGGCAGAACCAGGACUGGAACCUAUAUCUCUCUACUAAUGGUUUUUUUAAAAAAAUAACCUUGUUUCAAAAAUAUUAAAAAGUCACAAGAAAGGUAAACAUGUGGAUAAACAAAAUGAAGAAAAUAAAAAUUAUCCAGUAAUAACAUA
rnacentral:lncRNA from 1 species